rnacentral:tRNA from 1 species
GCCCAAGUGACUCAGUCCGUUAAGUGUCUGACUUCAGCUCAGGUCAUAAUCUCGCGGUUUGUGAGUUCGAGCCCCGCAUUGGGCU